GUGACUCUGUUCAACGGCCGCGGUAUCCUAACCGUGCGAAGGUAGCGUAAUCGCUUGUUCUUUAAAUGAGGACUAGUAUGAAUGGCACCACGAGGGUUAUACUGUCUCCUUUUUCCAAUCAGUGAAACUAAUCUCCCCGUGAAGAAGCGGGGAUUAAUUUAUAAGACGAGAAGACCCUAUGGAGCUUUAAACAAGAUAACAAUUGCUAAUUAAUAUACUUAAGAAAACUAGACUUCACCUCACUCUGAUUAUCAGUUUUAGGUUGGGGUGACCGCGGAGUAAAAAUUAACCUCCACAUUGAAAUGGGUCCUAAGCAAGAAGCUACAACUUUAUGCAUCAGAAAACUGACAUUAAUUGACCCAAUAUUUUGAUCAAAAAACCAAGUUACCCUACGGAUAACAGCGCGGUCCAAAACAAGAGCAAAGAACGACAAGUGGGUUUAAGACCUCGAUGUUGGAUCAGGG
rnacentral:rRNA from 1 species